GGACGGGCGUCUUUGCCGAGCCAUCGUGGAUUCCACAGGCGAGCUCCGCCUACAUUUCCUACUGUUAUCGCCAAUGUUUCACGGAUGGGUGCCCUUCCUUGAGUCAGUGCCAGUUCUCGCAGCAACCGGUGAAUGCAACAUUCAGUGCCGCAGUCGCCGAUCGUGAGCACGAGCCGUACUACCUGCUUAGCGACCGUGCCGUUGUUGCGAAUGGCGCCCACAGCGACGACGCUCCCGGGGGAACGUCGAGCGACAACGACGAAGCGUCGGGUCGCUACUGCUCUCUAGAAGGACUAAGACUGCACGAAAGUUCUUACAGG
rnacentral:lncRNA from 1 species